UUUCAACAUUAAAGAACAUUUUGUGACAGAUUAUCUGACAACAAUUCUAGUCUCCCUUUCAUUUAAGUGUAUAAACAAACUUUCUUCAAUUUUCCUGUCAUAGCAUAUUUCUAUACUUGUUGUCUUCUUCCAAUCCAACUUCAAGGCACCUCAAAAUAAUAAAUGAACAUAACUAGCUUUACAUCAAAUUACCAAAAUCCAGUUACAUAAUCCAAACAAAACCUAACCCCAACACCAAACCCAACAAACCAAUCUUUCCCGCUGAGACCUUUGGCGCCAUUGGUUUGAUUGAAAGUGAAAUGGGGGAUUUGAAAUGACACACUUCUAAAAAACGCAAUUGUACCUGGGCAAAUUUUCAUUAUUCAAAUAGGGGAAACAUAAAACAAAUAUAUAAAAAAAAAACUAGAUGGCUUUAUGUAUUUAAUAUAUUUAUUAGUUACCUCUUUGUAUACCAUUUACUAUUCUGCGAUCUUUCUUAUAGCUUUUCACUGGUAUAGAAACUAACUUUGCCGCACUAGAACCGACAGCAACCACUGACCGAAUUGGAGGAAGGCCUUUCAACAGUUUAUGAAUCUGUAAGGAGAGAUGGAGGAAGGCUGUAGAGGAUUGAUGUGAUUGGCUGGAUAUUGAUGUCACGGAUUAUGAUCUUUGACCGUUUGUAAUUUUUGGAACAAUCUGAACGGUUGGUUUUGAAUUUUUUUCAUUUUUUUAAUUCUAAGGCUAUGCGGUAUGGGGGACGUCCCCGGGUCGUCCUGGUCCGGCGCCGGAGCGCACACCGUGCCGCCCCCUCCCAUCGUCGUUGUGAACGGCGAGUGUAAGACGUUGAGGACGGGCCAAUAAAGGACAAAAGAGUGUAGGGACCGAGGUAUAUAUAACCGUUUGAGUAAAAAAAAUCAAUUAACCUGAUUAGAUGGAAUUGAAGAAGAAGAAGAAGAUAAGCCCUGUCCUUUGAAUUUACUAGAAGAUGAAGAAGAUGAGCCCUGUCCUUUGAAUUUUAUCCUGAUUUGUAGGUAGAAAUGAGGUUUGAAUGCUGAUUUUUAGGUUAGAUGGAGAGAUGAGGGAGAGAGACGAGAU
rnacentral:lncRNA from 1 species